AUGCUAUUUCUGACUUCUGGUAAGUUUAGAGCUACUUUUCAGAAUGCCUUUCUUCAUAGGAGUCAAAAAGUAACUCAUGUUAAGUUUUGCCAACAUAUAAAAGAACACACAAGUAGCAACGAUUUCAAACAACUCAGAUAUUACAGGUGCGCAUGCAGCGCAAAACAUAUCAUCCUUUCCUCUAUACAGUUUAUGCCCAACACUCUUGUGAUCAUAUUGUGCUUAUUCACUAUAUGCUUUAUUCCAAGAUAUCCGCAAGCAAGCAAGCUGACACUCCUACAAAAACGCCAGGAUCGGCAAAACUAA
rnacentral:rRNA from 1 species